rnacentral:tRNA from 1 species
GCGGUCGUAGUCUAGUUUGGUUAGGACUCCAGCUUCCCAAGCUGACAACCCGGGUUCAAAUCCCGGCGACCGCACCA